rnacentral:rRNA from 1 species
GAAAGUAAGCAAGGGCGCAUGGCGGAUGCCUUGGCUCUCGGAGGCGAUGAAGGACGUGAUAAGCUGCGAUAAGCUUCGGGUAGGUGCAAAUAACCUUUGAUCCGAAGAUUUCCGAAUGGGACAACCCGUCAUUCUGAAGGAAUGACAUCUUGCAUGGCAAGAGGCUAACGCAGGGAACUGAAACAUCUUAGUACCUGUAGGAAAAGAAAAUAAUAAUGAUUCCCCAAGUAGUGGCGAGCGAACGGGGAUUAGCCCAAACCAAUGUUGUUACGGCAAUAUUGGGGUUGUAGGACCACGAUGUCGCAAGAAAUUUAGUGAGAAGAACCCUUUGGAAAAUGGGACCAUAGACGGUGAUAGUCCGGUAUUCGAAGCUAAACGAAGCGUAGUGGUAUCCUGAGUAGCGCGGGACACGAGAAAUCUUGCGUGAAUCAGCCGGGACCAUCCGGUAAGGCUAAAUACUCCCGAGAGACCGAUAGCGAACCAGUACUGUGAAGGAAAGGUGAAAAGCACUUCGAACAGAAGAGUGAAAUAGUCCCUGAAACCGUGCGCCUACAAGCGGUCGGAGCUUCGUAAGAAGUGACGGCGUGCCUUUUGCAUAAUGAACCUACGAGUUACUUUUUCCGGCAAGGUUAAGCAUUUCAAAAUGUGUAGCCGAAGCGAAAGCGAGUCUUAAUAGGGCGACUAGUCGGAAGGAGUAGACGCGAAACCAAGUGAUCUACCCUUGGUCAGGUUGAAGGUUAGGUAACACUAACUGGAGGACCGAACCGAUAAGCGUUGAAAAGCUUCCGGAUGAACUGAGGGUGGGGGUGAAAGGCUAAUCAAACUUGGAGAUAGCUCGUACUCCCCGAAAUGCAUUUAGGUGCAGCCUCGGGAAUUACUACUGUGAGGUAGAGCGACUGAUAAGAUGCGAGGGCUUCACCGCCUAUCAAGUCUUGAUAAACUCCGAAUGCGCAGUAGUUCUAUCCCGGGAGUGAGGGCAUGGGUGCUAAGGUCCAUGUCCUAAAGGAGAAGAAUCCGGACCAUCAGCUAAGGUCCCGAAAUAAUUGCUAAGUUGAACUAACGAAGUCAGAUUGCUAAGACAGCUAGGAUGUUGGCUUGGAAGCAGCCAUUCAUUUAAAGAGUGCGUAACAGCUCACUAGUCGAGGAGUUUGGCGUGGAUAAUAAUCGGGCAUUAAGCAAUUUACCGAAGCUAUGGGAUCAGUAAUGAUCGGUAGGGGAGCAUUCCACUCUGCGUCGAAGGUGAAGCGUGAGCUUUGCUGGAGCGUGUGGAAAAGCAAAUGUAGGUAUAAGUAACGAUAAAGGGGGUGAGAAACCCCCUCGCCGAAAGACUAAGGUUUCCUGAUCAACGCUAAUCGGAUCAGGGUUAGUCGGGUCCUAAGGCUCAGCCGAACGGUGAGGCCGAUGGCAGAACAGGUUAAUAUUCCUGUACUACCUUAAGGAGUGACGUGGAGACGGAGGAGUGACAGCGCCGCGGACUGACGGAAUAGUCCGUUGAAGGGUGUAGAUGUUGAUUAUCCCAGGCAAAUCCAGGAUAAGAGUCGAACCUGAUAGUAUACCAAAUUCUUCGGAAUAAGGUAAUAGUGCGUGUAAGCAUACUCCCAAGAAAAUCCGCUAAACUUAAUCUUUAAGGUACCCGUACCGCAAACGGACACACGUAGUCGGGUUGAAUAUACUAAGGCGCUUGAGUGAUUCACGGUUAAGGAACUAGGCAAAUUGACCCUGUAACUUCGGGAUAAAGGGUCCCAACGAGAGUUGGGCGCAGAGAAUAGGUCCAGGCAACUGUUUAACAAAAACACAGGGCUGUGCUAAAUUGAAAGAUUACGUAUACAGCCUGACACCUGCCCGGUGCUGGAAGGUUAAGAGGAGAUGUCAUCGCAAGAGAAGCAUUGAAUUGAAGCCCCAGUAAACGGCGGCCGUAACUAUAACGGUCCUAAGGUAGCGAAAUUCCUUGUCGGGUAAGUUCCGACCUGCACGAAUGGUGUAAUGA